AGCCCCGCAGGGACCAGCAAAUGCCCUCUGGUUGUAGGUGCUGCAGGAGUUACUUCCCAAAAAAUAAACCUUUGGACAAUCUGUGGCAAAGUCCCCAGCUGUGCUUGCAGUGAGCAUUGUGUCUGGAAGGAGCAGGAACGAGUUCUCAGGAAUGGUCCAGAGCAACUUUCCCAAACACAGUAGCUACCUCCAGCCAACCUCACAUGCCACCUACCAGCACCAACAAAUACAAGCUCCGUACUUUUUAAGCACAGCCU